GAAAAAUAAAUAAUUUAGAAAAGAGAAUAGGAAAUCUUACCCUUGAAAUGGAGUCCCUGAAAACUAGAAUAGACCAAAGAGAAAUUGGGGCACAAUGAAACAACAAAAAAUAUUAGAACAAAAUGAAAAUAUUGGGAAAAAUGGAAGAAAAUACAAGUUACAUAAGUUAUUCGGUGUCAAAUACAAAUGACCUGGAAAACAGGUCAAAGAGACAUAAUUUAAGAAUCAAUGCACACCCUAAAAACUUUGAUUUUUAAAGUUUUAAAAAGCUAAAACACUACGUGUCAAGAAAUCAUCAAUGAAAUCUGCCUAGAACCAGAAAACAAAGUGAAGACAGACUCUAUUAAUCAUCUCCUGAAAGAAACUCCAAAAGGAAAAGUUCUGGGAAUAUCAGAAAGAAAAUCCUUAGCUCCCACUUCAAAGAAAAAAAUACUCUAGGCACUCAGAAAGAAACACUUCAUGUAACAACAAACAGGAUUACACAACACCUAGCAGGCUUCUUUUAUUAAUAAAGAUCUUAGAAUACAUGUUUCCAAAAGGAUACCAGAAUAAUUUAGUCUGAGAAACAGAUUAUAAUUCUAUAAGGGGGAAAAAGUGGACUUUUAUUGGUAUAGAGAACUUUCAAGAAUUUCUGGUGUAAAGAACAGAGCUAAGCGGACCUCUAAAAUACAAAUACUGCAGAGAAACCUAGAAAAGGUAAAAUUAUUUGAGCAACUGGAAGGGGUUAUAUGAUGGUGUAGAACUAACAUUCUGAUAGAAGGAGGGAAAAAACAAAUGUCCUUUCAGAACCACAAUGACUUCAAAGGGUAUUAUUGAGGGAGUCAAAUAAGAAAAAUAGAGGUCCUGAUGUUUGACUGUUCCUGUUUGGGCAGGAGGGGGUUUAAAGAGGGAAAAGAAAAGGUUGGGUAAAAAGGGGAAUAUACUAGUGUAGAAAAAAAAGAAAAGAGGGUAAUUUGCUGUUUUUUAUACUUGGAGUAAGUUGAGCAGGCAUUAGAUAAACCUCUACAGAGGAUGAGAUAGAGAAAACAGGCAUUAGAUAAACCUCAUUCUUACCAAAACCAGGUAAGAUUCCCCCCACCCCCACAAAAUCUCAUGUGGAAAUACAUCAAAUGGAACAGCAAAACAAGAGAUCAUGUUGGAAGGAUGGAUGAUCCCGUAAGAGAAUAGUCACAAGCAAAAUAAACUUCCUGAUCCUGAAGGGAGAACAGAGAAGGGGACAGGAGGGUGAGGGAAGAGAAAGAACUAAGAGUGCUUUAGAUUGGUUCUUGAACAACAGGGGAAUGAGCGAACAAAUUGUGAUAUAUACAUGUAAGGGAUUAUUAUUGUGCCAUAAGAAAUGAUUAAAGACUAUUUCAGAGAAUCCUAGUUAGCAUGAACUGAUGCAGAGUGAAGUGGGCAGAACCAGGAGAAUAAUUUAUGCAAGGAGAACACUGCAGACACAAAAAGAUUUAAGAACUCUGAUGAAAGCAUUAACCAAUCAUGUUUCCUGGAGGAUCUAUGAUAAAAGGCAAGUUACCCACUUCCUGAGAGAGAGGGGAUAUUCACACCAGGUGUAGAAAGAGGCAUACGAUUUAGGACAUUAUGGCCGCUGCGUGAAUCUGUUUUGCUUGAUGAUGCUUAUUUGUUAUAAGGAGUUUUUCCUCCCCUUUCUUUCUCUUAGUUAAUAAUAAGAGGGGUAGGGUCACAGGGAAAGGGAUGUUGUCAAUAGUGAUUUCCCUCAAAAGAGAGACAUUGCAAUGUAUCUUCAAAUACCCAGAAGAGAGGAAGUUCAAAAGUAAACAGGAUAGUUUUGAAAGCAACAUGUGGAAUUUGCUGUUUGUUUUUUAAAGCAAAAGUUUUUAAAUGAAAAUUCACGGUUUUAUAUGGAAUCCACAUUUUCUCUUCUGCUUUGUGUAUGCAAAUGCAUUUUUUUUUGGUGUUUAAGUUCACAGGAAAGAAAUGGAAAGUUAAAAAGAGGGCAAGUGAAGAAAAGAAAGUUCUGAAAGAAAAACAGUUUUGAAAUUAUGUACAGAAUUUAUCCUAUGCUUUUUAAAUUUUGAAAUUAUGUGUAGAACUUAUAAUGUGCUUUUUAAAAAAGCAAGCUGGUAUGACAUAGAUUCAUAGCUUCACAUAAAAUCUGUCCUGUGUAUAGAAAUUUAUUUUUUGGUGUUUAAGUUUAGAUUAAAAAUAAAAUUUUAAAUUAAAAAAUGACCAUAGGAGAACAGGAGGAAGUAGACAAGGUGUUUUGAAAGUAACAUGUGGAUAUUUAUAAUGGGUUUUAUUUUUUUUUCUUUGUCAAUGAAUAGGGGAGAGGGAAGUAGAUGGGACAGAAUUCUUAAGUGAAAAUUUAGUGAAAAUUUUAAAGUAUUACAUAUUUUUUAAAAAGUCUAGUUGUGAAAUGGAGAUUCAAAGUUUCAUUAAAAAAUCAUUUUUGUGUUCUGAUGUGUAUACAGAAAGGCUCCUUUUUUGUGUUAAAGUUCAGAAUUUAAAAAUUAAACUAAAAAAAACCUCUAGUACUCAGAGAAUAAAAAAAAAUUAGGAAUCAAUAAACAAGGUGGGCAUCAAAUACCAUUUUUGACAAAAGAAACUGACUUAUGAUCUCUGACUUGUGACCAACUCUGCUGUAUUACUAAAUUUCAGAAAAGCCCCAGCCAUGCUUCAUUUCAUCCCCUCCUCUCUGACAACCUCAUAAUCCUCCACCUCUUCGUUGACAAACUCCUUAUCUCUGAGGACAUAUUCUCUCUUCAACCUCCCAUUUUGGAACCAUGAACUGCAGCUCUCCCUAAAAUUUUGACUAGGGGGUAAAGUGUAUUAGGAAUGAUUUCCUAACCCCUCCUUCACUUGCCCCAGGCAGGUUAGGCUUGUGUUCUAUUAGGCUGCACAGCUUGAGUUAGAGCAAGGACAUUAGGUAUGAGUAUUUACAGGAAAUGGUUACUCAGGAAGCUCUACCCACUGGUUAAAAGCUUUUCAAGCUCUUCUAAAGCAGACGUGUCAAAUUUAUGGCCCCCCAAACUCUUCAAUGAACCUGCACCAGAUUAAAAGGCAGCACCUAUCAAAUACUUCAAGGCAUGUUUCCAUGUAAAUACAGAACUUGAGAAGACUGAAAAAUCUUUAAGACACCCCUUCUCCAAAAUGACUGCUGAGUGCCCCUCAAAAACAUAUUACAUGAGUGGCUGCCAAUCGAUAAGGCCCUAUCACCUACGGUGAGAGAGAUGCUGUACUGGUAUUUUUUUAUUUCUUUUAUAAUGUGAGAAAAAUCAAGCUAUACUAAAAAGUGUUGUAACUUUAGAAUCCAAAAGAAGACCUAGGAGAGAGAAAUUAGACAUAAACUUAGAAUAAAUGAAAUCUAGUGUUGUAUAAACAACUUCUCCUGAUUUCCUUUCUUAUUAGUUCUAGUUUUGAGGAGUGUCUGAGUUGAAUCUGAUAGUACAGCAAUCCGUGCUAACACUCCCUAAUAUCAAGGACAGCCCCCAAAUGGUCUACAAGCUAGUCUAGGCAAAAGAUAAGCUUCUUAAGGACAGGGCCUUUUUUUGUACUGUAUGUAACCUGAAUAUCCAGCAUGGCAACCUGCACAAAUAGGUACUUAAAAGUGGUGGUGGAAUUGACUGAUCUAACCUAAAUUCAUUCUAGAAUCAAUGCAAGAGGGAUGAGGGUCAUAUCAGUCUCUGAGUGUCUCAGCUUGGCAUACACAAAGUAGAUUAUAGAGGCAUCUUUCAUUACUAUAAAACAUGACAUGUAGCCCUUCUACCCCAGUAAGAUAUAAGCUCCUUGGGGACAGUAUUUUUAUUCCUUUCUCUUUAUAUAUUUAGCACUUCCAUCAAAAAGUCCUAACUCUAAUGUCUUACUGUAGGGUAAAGGCAGAAGUAUCCAAAUGUCCCCAUGCCUUAAAUACUUAAGUACUUGUGUCUUAAAUACAGGGGAUAGGGACCACCCGUAUGAAUUCAUCAGAACAAGGAACUAAUGAAUGAGGAAAUUCUAACAAUGCAGCUAUUCUCAGCAAUACAAUGAUCCAAGACAAUUCC